GACAGAGGGGGCAAGCGUUGCUCGGAAUUACUGGGCGUAAAGGGCGCGUAGGCGGGAUGGCAAGUCGGUCGUGAAAUCCCUCGGCUCAACCGAGGAACGUCGAUCGAUACUGCUGUUCUUGAGGAUUGCAGAGGAGACUGGAAUUCCCGGUGUAGCGGUGAAAUGUGUAGAUAUCUGGAGGAACACCGGUGGCGAAGGCGACAUCCUGGACCGGUAUUGACGCUGAGGCGCGAAAGCCAGGGGAGCAAACGGG
rnacentral:rRNA from 1 species